rnacentral:lncRNA from 1 species
AACAUUGUUGUAAACUUCUAUAUGGCAAUAUAUUUUGCAUUCAUAAUGGAACACACUAAAGUCAUUAUUUUAAUGUUUCCAUCCAAAUAUCUCUUUAGUCAUAAUAAAGAGAUAUCCGUUUAUCUCUUCAUUCAUAAUGAAGAAACAUCCAAUGAUGUAUUAGAUUCAUAAUUUAAUACAUUUACGCUUCCAUUACGUUACUCUAAUUCUUCCUCAAUCUUUGAGGAAUUUAUCCUUUAGUAUUUCUUAAAUACUUAAGGACUUACAUGACAGUUGCCAUGGUUCUGAUCCUGGGCUUACACUGAUAUCGUCUUGUACCUUUCUAGGUACAACCCAUAUCAAUGUUUUUCAUACAAUAUGAAAUACAUAAAUCACCUUUCUGCUUACGCAUAAAGGAUUCUAUUUACGCAUUAUUUCUUUGGGAGUCAAAGGGUACGUUCCCUUUGAGAAGAGCUACCUCCUAGUCUCACUAGAGUUGUUUCUUCUGAUUUAAAGUUUAUCAUCAUAUGAGAAACUUCCUAGCAUCUUUUGUCUAUUAUUAGGGAUUUAUAUAAUCAAAUUAUAUCCUAAAAUCUAUCAAUAUAGAUUUCCAUCCCAUGUAUAUAGACUAUGUCUCCCAUAUACAUUCUAUCUUCAUAUAAUGUUUAAAGUCAUAACUUUAACGAAGAAAUAUUCUUUUCAUUUCCAAAAUUAAUAUAUCAUACAUAUAUUCAUAUAUAUCACAUAUAUAUAUAUAUAUAUAUAUAUAUAUAUAUACAAAUUUAGGAAUAUGAUUAACUCCCACUAAUCUUUUGUAAAAAUAGUAAACAAAAGAUUCAUUUACAUCUUUAUGAGAAAUCAAACGAUUUGACCUUUCUCUCAUAAGACGCUUAUAGCUCCCACUAGCUUGCUAAGAUCCAUGAUGGAUGGAUCUCUACAACUUAUAUCUCUUGUGAUUCAUAGUUUUAGACAUAUAUUAUCAAGACUAUCUUAAUAAUGGUUUCGGAAACCCAUAUUAUGUCCAAACAUUGAAUCACCAUUUAGUUGUAGCUAGCAAUCUUCGAAUUAAUUGAAACUAAGACUACGUCAAAAAUGGUUUCCUUCAAAGUCAACCAUUCUAUUUGAUUGUAGUCACCUUAAGCUACCAAUUAGCUUAUGAAGGUUUCAUUAUUUCGGGUCAAAUGGUACUUUACCAUUCCCAUGAGUAUAUAUCGUAUAUGCACUCAAUGUAGUCAUAAGGAUUUUCAUUCUUAUUUCUUUCGAAUUAAGAGGUGCAACUCUAUGACAUAGUCAUAAAGUUCAAACCAUUCAACUGAGACGGUUUAUAAAUCCUUCUCGACUACCUUGGAGCUUGUGGUAUAGGAACUAGGUUGUUUAUAUUUGUUGAUUACUUUCUUGUCUCUCAAAGAACCCAUUCUUUGAGUUCUAUCUCUCGUUUAUUUGCUUUUAGGCAAAUCACAUUGUAUGAUUACAAUGAACUACCCAACAAAACAACAUUUGUUAGUUGGUUUAUAGAAGCGAUAUCCAAAAGUUAAUUUAAGGAUAUCCUACAAGAUUGUUAUCAAACAUAUAUUGCUUAUUAGCACACAACCCCAAAUCUUAACAUGUUUUAAGAUUUGUCUUUCUUUCCAACUACAUCUUAUGGAGUCAUGAAAAUAUUGGAAGAUCUUCUCAUUGACAAUCAUAUUGUUUUUAGAAGUAUAUAUCCUAUAUAUGGGUAAUAGAUAACAUCUAACGAACUAAAUCUUAUUCGAGUUCGUUCUUCUCCUAAUGGAGAAAUACAUUAUCUUAUGAUGCUAUUUUCCUUGAUAUCUUUCAAGGAAACUCAUCUAAAGUGUUACCUUUCCUUGGAUCAAAUCUAAGGAGGUAAAUACUUUAGAUGUCUUACUCAUCAACUUACAUUUCUUGAAUUCUUUGAAACAUUUUGCAAAGUAUUCGGACUUGUGUUUAUUCAAAAUAAACUAUAGUCCAACCGAGAGUGAUCUUCGGUGAAUGUUAUCCAACAUGAGUAGUAUUAUGUUUGUGGACAAGUGCCACUAACAUCUAAGUGAAUUAACCUCAACAACUUUGUGAUUCUUUCUUCUUUCCAAAAGAAUAAAGAUUCGAACAUUUCGCCUCUAUAUAAUUUUAACAAGAAGGUAUUGGAUCCGGAUCUAACGAUCCAAAGCGUCCAUCUAUGACCAACUCGUAAUUUAUGUUUUAGAGGUAUCACAACUUUAGUUGGGAUUAGUCACUACCUUGCAACCUUUUGGGUUUUAAGCAUCAUUGUAUUCUAAACAGUUAACACUACCAUAUCAUCUCUACUAUAGAGACAAUCAAUUAGAUUACUAUAAUCCAAUCAUUGAUUAAUAAAGAACAAUGUUUUGUCAAACAAAACAUUCAUCCAUCUCUACUAUAGUGACGGAAUUAAAUUCCUUAAAAUUGGAAUGUAAAGACAGUCUUUGGUUUUUCCAAUUUCUUUGGUAGUUCAUAUGAGGAAGUAAGUACCAUCUGCUUUCGCAGAAAUCUAUUUUAUUCACUUUCUGAAUGUGAAGUACUUUCUCUUCUCUCAUUAAUCUUCUACUUCUUAUUAGCCAUACUUUUACAACGAUUGUAAAACAUAGUUACUAAUACGAAAUCAAACAUUCAAGUAGAAGAACCAACUGUUUUGAACUAUUGAAGAACAAUUUACAACACCUUCAAAAGGUGUGUUCUUGACACUUGUAAGACAUUUCUUGCAAAUACCCCUUCCAAUGUCCAUCCUUUCAUAAAUAAAGUUUGUUCCCUUGGAGUUAUUUCGCUUUCUUCAUUUGACUUCUCCUUUGACUACCAUAGUCAAGGUCCCUAAACUCCCACUAUCUCUCUUGAAACCUUUUUCAAUUGUGUUAAACACAUCAAACAAUUUGGAGAGCUUGUGGUUAUUGUUCACUAUAUAGUUUACAAUAAACUUAGUGAACUAUAAGGAUAGGGACACAAAGGUGAAGUCCUUGCCUAGUUUCCGUCUCGUUAAGUGGUUUAUCACUUCAACACUCAAUGAUUCAAAAUCAUCAUAAGUCCAUGCUAAUGGACUAUUUUUGUCAACCAACCAUUAUGUUCUAAACAUAAUUACAAACUUUCAAGAGUUGUUCAAAGCAACUCUCAUUUCUUCAUACAACAAUUUGUAAGUGAAGAAUCAUGGCACAUUAAGUGUCCAUGCCUUUGUGCUUUCUUCUUAAGUUCUUUGUUCAUUUAACAAAGAAACAAGCACUAAGUGUUUGCAUUGACUAAGGGUUGUUCAAAACAACUCAUUAUUUCUUCAUACAACGAUUUGUAAGGGAAGAACUAAUAACACUAAAAGUGUCCUUUUCUUUAUGCUAAUCUUCGUAAGUUCCUUUGUUCAUAUAACGAAGGAAUAAGCAUUGGUUGUUUGUGUUGUUCUCUUCAUGAUAGACUUUUCUAACAUGUUCUUCCAAUGAUACAUUAUCAUUAGGAAGAUUGUGAGGAUGAGACUACUUAGGUACAUAUGCAAUCCUUUUAAGACAUUCUUUGGGAUUGUGGUACCAAGUCCGGAAACUAAAACAUUCGGUUUUUAUUUGUCAAGUGUUGGAUAGCGUUUGCAAAUAUAUUGGUAAACAAAUACAUAACGAAUAUAAAUUGAUUGAUUUUAAGCCAUUUGAUUAGGGUCUUUAAAUCAAAUAGCACCACCCACUAUUUUUGGCAAAUUCCAUAUCCCUCAUUGGAAUUCGAGAGUUUUGGAUGAAACUCCUAGUAGGUUAUGGGAGGCUCACUAUUACCAAGCCCACCUCAGAAGAACUCCAUGAUAUUGGCUAGCAACAAUAAUAAUGAGAUAGUACGCUUACUCAUUUGCAACUAAUGCAAGUACCCAUCUUAUUUGGCCUCUAGAGAAUGAUGCCUCAGAAGAAACUCCAUAUUGGCACCAUUGCACUUAGUUAAGUCAUUCCCACCAUGCUAGUUCAAGUAGGGGUUCAAGAAUGGCCUCAGAAGAACUCCAUAUUGGCCAUACUCGUUGCCUACUUUCACUUCAUCAUAUGUUUAUAGGCUUCUCCUGAAUGUAAGCACAUACUUUGCAACCCCAGAACUGGACAAAUACAUUGUAUGAGUCACAAACGAUUGAAGCCUACCACGGUGGAAGGCCACGAAAGAGUGUUCAAAGCACUCUCACUCUUUUCAACUUAAUAUUGGUUUGGUUGAGGGUUUUAGGUCUCAUCACAUAUAAACAUACAUUUUAAUCUCUAUUAAAACAAUUUUGGUCCUAUUACAACUAUUGGUCCAUAUGAUUGUUUUAGUUGUAUAUGAUACUCCCACUAUGCUUUUAAAACGGUUUUUAAAGCAAGAGUAUAUGAUACUACUAACAUAAACUUUGCAUUCAUUUAAUGGACUAUAUAGUUGCCUUAGGGCCUUAGGAUGACUAUGAACCUUGGUUUAGAUUCAACACGAGCCUUGUGUUGAAUCUCGGUCUAGGAAUGGUGAUUGAUUUUAGUUACGCGUUUAAUCACAUUAAGGCGUGUUGUCUUAGGGGCGUUGGACCCAACUACUUCAUUUUCAUGCAUAUCAUAUAAAGCAAGAAAGAAGUACUUCAAAGUAAAGGUGAGCUUAUGCUCAUUACAACAUUUGCAUAAAACAAAUUACUUUAAAGUAAAAAAGAGCUUAAGCCCUUUUACAACAUUUGAUCAAAUCAAAUUACAACCAAAAUCUAAUCUACACAUUCCCAUGGUUCAAACAAAUUUGAAACGGCCUUUCACAUAGCUCAAUUAUAUUAGGCUUAGGUUCAUAAUCACCCUUUAAUUAAUUAACACUUUAACUAAUUAAAUUGAAUGCAACAUUUUCAUUUGGUUUUUGUAUCCAUAAAAUUGAUUUAAAUGGAGCUAAACAAAAUGAAAAUCCAAUUCUCAUUUAAAGAGACAAAACAAUUUUGUUCUCUACUUAAUUUGGGCCAAUAUGCAAUAACCACAACUUUUGGGCCAUAAAGCAAUUAACCUCAACUUUUGGGCUAUAUUGCAAAACUUUUGGGGUCACUUUGUAAAGACACAAAAGUCCACUACUUCAUGUAAUUACAAAAGAACCCAAAAUUUAAUCAAUGCAAAAACUUCAUUAAAGGAUCAAAACAAUUUGUCCUUUAGCGUUUUUGGACCUAAACGUAAAAACGUAAACUUUUGGGCCAAAGUGCAAAUACACAAAAGUAUCAAAACUUUAUGUAAUUGCAUAAAAGCCCCAAAAGUACCCCACUUGCAAGGGUGGCCGGUUUUGGAAGAGGAUAGAGUGAUGUGUGUGUUGAUUUGUGAGUUUUAGACAUAAAGCAACAAGUGGUGCAAGUGGUGUGUGUGAAAGGAAAUUAAUCCUUACACACCCAUCACCAUUUCCAUCACCCUUCAAAUAAAUAUCUUAUGCAUUAAAACAUUUUGAAAAACAAAAACAUAAACUUUAUGUAAUAAAUCAAAACUUUGAAUCAAAACACAAACCUUUUUGUUCUUGGCAAAAAUGUCAAGAACAAUGAAGAACAUUCAUGAAAAAACCCAAAAUUUUUCCAUGAACUUUUUUCACCCAAAAACAUUCCAAAACCAUUCAAACUUUAGGGAAAUAACAUCUAACCAAACUAGGGUACAUAAGGGUUCCAAAAGUCACUUGAAAACACAUUUAACAAGUCAAACAAGAACCCAAAAAUCCACCCUUUGGAUUUGGCCGAAAAUCCCCAAAGUCAUGGCACCAAAUUUUAGCUCCAAUAUUCAUGCUCAUAUGAACUACAUCUACAACAUUUGAGAUGGCAAAUUUUCUAGCAAAAUUUACAUUCAAAAAACAAGAAUAAAGCUUGUAACAUAUUACAACUUUUAAAUCACAAACUAUGAACUACAAAACACAAAAGGAUUCACCAACUACUAGACCUAGGCUCUGAUACCACUUGAAGGAAAAUUUUGUGAAAACAAGUUCAUUUAAGCAACAUCAAUAAGCAUGCAAUUAACAAUUAAAGGCGGAAUCAUGCUUGCAUGCACUUAAAAACAAAACUAUAACCAAGAAAUUCAAAGCCUAGUAGGUUGGUGAACCAUUAAUCAACUCAAAACAAAGUGAGUUGAGAUUUAUACCUUUGUAGAUUCCUCUUUGCAUAAGCAAAGGCUAAUCACCCAAAGAGAGGGCCUUCAUUCCUUGCAUCUUAAAUCUAUAUUUUUGGAUGGAAGAAUAGGUUUCUCCAAGUUCCCAAAGUAGGGAACCUCUAAGUCUCUUCACCAAGGAGAGAUUGGAGAAGAAAUGAGUGACCUUGGAGUAGUGGGAUUGCAAGAUGCACCCCCCAAGGGGCCGGCCUCCUAGAGAGAAAAUGGAGAGACAAGUUCUCACCAAUUUUCUCUAAAAGAAACCCUAAUGAAUAAAAGGCUAUAAAGUCAUAUUUAUACCUUUAUUCAUUUGAGUGGCAAACUUGUAAUUAAAGCAAGUUCACUACCCUUCCUCUAAAUGGCCGGCCAUGGGGUGUUGUUUGGGCUUUUGGGUCUUAGUGAAUCAUUAUUCAUUAAGUUGUCAUACAACUUAAGUCAAUGGGCUUGACGUUCGAAGCCCAUUGGGCCUUAAGGUCCAAAACCUAUCCCGAGGUCUUUAACGAACUUAUUCGUUUGAUUAAUUAACAUAUUAAUUAAUCCUUGCCAUAAAUAAAUGAUUAAACCAUUUAAUCAUUCUUACUCAUCUCCGUUUAAUCUCCAAUCUCCACCUCUUAUGGUGUGCGAUCCAUUAGGUUCCUUUUAGCGAGGCAGUGGGCGAUUAAAACCAUUUCAAAUCGAUUGUGAAUUGAAACUUACUUUCAAUUCUCCCUUUAGUGAUUACACACGUUUAGGGCUUCCACAAACCAUGAGUGACACCUUGCAGCAUAUCAUGGUUACCCAAGCUAAUCAGAAGAGGUAGAGAAAACCUAUUCAGUUUGGGAUUACAAAUGCAAUACGGUCUUUCUCUAAUCUAAGACUCUUGACCACAUUGUUUGGUUUGAUAGUUUAUUUAUUCAUGUCUACUAUCCAAUGUGAUUCGUGUGCUUAUAUGAUUACCUUGAAUGUGAUUUAGAACGACUUUUCUAAAUCUCAUUCAUACUCUGGCCAGAGAUUCUAAAUCAUAUCAUAGAGUAUUCUCCCUCAAACAGUUUGAAGGUUAGAGAUCCCUUGUUGCGCAUUCACUUGCCUCCAUGGCUAAGUGGCUUAACCCCAACGAUGCCGUGGACACCCCGAUGGGGUGACUUUGACAUAAUCAAAGAUCAAGGACUUAACCACAAGACAACUGUGAUGCCUCAGGUCAAAGGACUAAUUUGCAUUAUCCCAAACAUGAGUUCUCAUGUGACAUGAGUAUGAGAACUCUUCGUUGAUCACGUUCAGUGAACUCAUUCUCUACUGAGCACCUACGUACUUGUCUUGAUGUCACACACACCAAUGACUCGAGACUAGUCACUCUCCCUGAGAGAAGACAUAGCACGUACCGAUCUUGACGGACUGUCAAUGCCCAAUUGGCAAUCCUAUGAUCAGGAACAUUUAGGAUGUGUCUACGAAAGAAUGGUCUCAUGAAUCUAACUUCAUUAGAUUACAUUCUUCCAAUCACAUAUUCCUUGGACUUUAUCGUUUAAGCAUAUAACAUUUAUAUGAGACGGCUCAAACAAUAAUCUUUGCCCUUUAUAUUAAACUAGAUUAGUUUAACAUGUGAAAUGUCCGUAAAGUAUCAUCACAUGAUUGGUUUUAGGGCACAUUUCCAACAGGAUUUUCCAAGUUCCCAAAGUUGAGAACCUCUAAGUCUCCACACCAAGGAAGGACUUGAAGAAGAGAUGAGUGACCUAGAGGAAGUAAGAUUGCUAGCUAAAAUCCUCUAGGGUGGCCGGCCUCUUCGAGAGAAAAGGGAGCUUAUGUUCUCAUCUUUUCUCCAAAAGAAACCCUAAUGAAGAAAAGUCUAUAAAGUCACAUUUAUACCUACCUUCAUUGGAGUGGCAAACUUGUAAUAAGUCCAAAACCUACUCCUUUAUCAAUAUGGACGGCCAUAGGGUUUUAUUGGGCUAUUUGGGCCUUUGUGAAUUAUUAGUCAUUAAGUUGUCAUACAACUUGGGUCAAUGGGCUUGACGUUCGAAGCCCAUUGGGCCUUGAGGCCCAAACUAACCCUAGGUCUUUAACGAACUUUAUUCGUUUGAUUAAUUACAUAUUAAUUAAUCCUUGCCAUAAAUAAUUAAACUAUUUAAUUAUCCUUACUCAUCUCCGUUGUUUCUUCAAUCUUUACCUUAUACGGUGUAUGAUCCAUUUGGUUCCUUUUAGCGAGGCAGUGGGCGAUUACCUUGAAUGUGAUUUGGAAUGAUUUCCUAAAUCUCAUUCAUACUCUGGCCAGAGAUUCUGAAUCAUAUCAUAGAGUAUUCUCCCUCAAACGGUUUAAAGGUUAGAGAUCCCUUGUUGCGCAUUCACUUGCCUCUAUGGCUAAGUGGCUUAAUCCCAACUAUACCGUAGACACCCUCUGACGGAGUGACUUUGACAUAGUCAAAGAUCAAGGACCUAACCACAACACAACUAUGAUGCCUCAGGUCAAAGGACUACUUUGCAUUAUCCCAACCAUGAGUUCUCAUGUCACAUGAGUAUGAGAACUCCUUGUUGAUCGUGUUCAGUGGACUCAUUCUCUAUUGAGCACCUACAUCCUUGUCUUGGUGUCAGUCACACCAAUGACUCGAGACCAGUCACUCUCCCUAAGAGAAGACAUAGCACGUACUGAUCUUAAUGGACUGUCAAUACCCAAUUGGCAAUCAUAUGAUCAGGAACUUUUGGGAUAUGUAUACGACAUCAUGUAUGCAUAUAAAACUCCUCCUGAGUGUAAGCACGCACUUUGUACUCCCCCAUGAUAGGGUGAAGUCAGUGUACGAGUCACAAACGAUCAGAGCCUAUCACAGUGGAAGGCCACGAAAGAGUGUUCAAAGCACUGGAGCACUUAUCAACUUAAUAAUGGUUUGGUUGAGGGUUUUAGGUCUUAUCACAUAUAAGCAUGCAUUUUAAUCUUAUUAAAACAAUUUGGUCCUAUUACAACUAUUGGUCCAUUUGAUUGAUUUAGUUGUAUAUGAUACUCCCACUAUGCUUGUAAAACGGUUUUUAAAGCAAGAGUAUAUGGUACUACUAACAUAAGGUUUGCAUUCAUUGAUGGACUAUAUAGUUACCUUAGGGCCUUAGGAUGACUAUGAACCUUUGAUUCGAUCCAACACGAGCCUAGUGUUGAAUCUCGGUCUAGGGAUGGUGAUUGAUUUUAGUUACGCGUUUAAUCACAUUAAGGUGUGUUUUCUUAUUGAGCGUUGGACCCUCUACUUCAUUUUCAUGCAUAUCAAUUAAAGCAAGAAAGAAGUACUUCAAAGUAAAGAAAAGCUUAUGCUCUUUUACAACAUUUGAUCAAAACAAAUUACUUUAAAGUAAAGAAGAGCUUGCUCUUUUACAAUAUUUGAUCAUAUCAAAUUACAACCAAAAUCUAAUCUACACAUUCCCAUGGUUCAAACAAAUUUGAGACGGCCUUUCACAUAGCUCAAUUAUCGUAGGCUUAGGUUCAUAAUCACCCUUUCUUUAAUCAAUUAACACUUUAACUGAUUAAACUUGAAUGCAACAUUUUCAUUUGGUUUUUGUUUCCAUAGAAUUGAUUUAAAUGGAGCUAAAUGAAAUGAAAAUCCAAUUCUCAUUUAAAGAUACAAAACUAUUUUGUUCUCAACUAAUUUGGGCCGAAAAGCAAUAACCUCAACCAUUAGGCUAUAUUACAAAACAUAAACUUUUGAGGUCCCUUUGUAAAAACACAAAAGUCCACUACUUCAUGUAAUUACAACUAGAACCCAAAAAUUUCAACAAAUGCAAAAACUUCAUUAAAGGAGCAAAACAAUUUGUCCUUUAGUGAUUUUGGGCCUUUACGUAAAAACGUAAACUUUCGGGUCAAAGUACAAAUACACAAAAGUAUCAAAACUUUAUGUAAUUGCAUAAAAGCCUCAAAAGUAUCCUAUUUAAUAGGAUGGCCGGUUUUGGAUGAGAGAUGGUGUCAUAAAACUUUUGAAUUUUUCAACAAAAGUGAAAGGUGAUGGGUAGGUUUGAAAAAGUGAUUUCCAUAAAACAUGGUUCCUUGAAAAAAUGAAAAGGUGUAAGUGAUUGGUAUGGUGUUGAUUGAAAAAAGACAGAUCAUGUCAUAUCAUUUAUUACCAUAAACAAAACUUUAUGAGAAACAUCAAAAACUUUGAAUCAAAACACCAAACCUUUUUGUUCUUGGUUAGAAUAUAACAAGAACAAUGAAGAACAUCCAUGAAAACUCAAAAGAGCUCCAUGAACAUUUUUCACCCAAAGACACCCAAAAAACUGUCAAACUUAAGGGAAAAACAUAUUACCAUACUAGGGUACUUAGGGGUUGCUAAUGUCACUGUAAAACACUUUUAACAAGACAAACAUGAACCCAAAAAUUCACCCUUUGGAUUUGGCCGAAUUUCCCCAAAAACAUAGCACUAAAUUUUAGCUCCAAAAUUCAUGCUCAUAUGAACUACAUCUACAACAUUUGAGAUGACAAAUUUUCUAACAAAAUUUACAUUCAAAGAAGCAAGAAUAAAGCUUGUAACAAUUAUAGCAUUCAAAUCAUAAACUAUGAAAAUACAAAACCCAAAAGGAUUCACCAACUACUAGACCUAGGCUCUUGAUACCACUUAAAGGAAAUUUUGUGACAAACAUGUUCAUUUGAGCAACAUCUAUGGCAUGCAAUUAACAAUUAAACACGGAAUAAUGCUUGUAUGCCCUCAAAACAAAACAUUACCCAUGAAAUUCAAAGCCUAGUAGUUAUGUGAUCCAAGACUCAACUCAAGAACAAAGUGAGUUGAGAAAUUUUAUACCUUUGUUGAUUCCUCUUUGCAUAAGCAAAGGCUAAUCACCCAAGGAGAGGGCCUUCAUUCCUUGCUUCUUAGCUCCGUGGAUUUUUCGGAUAAAGAUGGUUGAAAGGAUUCUCCAAGUUCCCAAAGUUGAGAACCUCUAAGUCUCCACACCAAGGAAUGACUUGAAGAAGAGAUGAGGGACCUAGAUGAAGUAAGAUUGCUAGCUAAAAUCCUCUAGGGUGGCCGGCCUCUUAGAGAGAAAAUGGAUCUUGUGUUCUCAUCUUUUCUUCAAAAGAAACCCUAAUGAAGAAAAGGCUAUAAAGUCACAUUCAUACCUACCUUCAUUGGAGUGGCAAACUUGUAAUAAGUCCAAAACCCACUCCUUUAUCAAUAUGGCCGGCCAUAGGGUUUUAUUGGGCUGUUUGGGCCUUUGUGAAUUAUUAGUCAUUAAGUUGUCAUACAACUUAAGUCAAUGGGCUUGACGUUCGAAGCCCAUUGGGCCUUGAGGCCCAAACUAACCCUAGGUCUUUAACGAACUUUAUUCGUUUGAUUAAUUAACAUAUUAAUUAAUCCUUGCCAUAAAUAAUUAAACCAUUUAAUUAUCCUUACUUAUCUCCGUUGUUUCUUCAAACUCUACCUUACACGGUGUAUGAUCCAUUAGGUUCCUUUUAGCGAGGCAGUGGGCGAUUAGAACUCUUUCAAAUCGAUUGUGAAUUGAAACUUACUUUCAAUUCUCCCUUUAGUGAUUAUACACGUUUAGGGCUUCCACAAACCAUGAGUGACACCUAGCAGUAUGUCAUGGUUACCCAAGCUAAUCAGAAGAGGUGGAGAACCUAUUCAGUUUAGGAUUACAAUGCAAUACGGUCUUUCUCUAAUACAAUACUCUUGACCACAUUGUUUGGUUUGAUAGAUUAUUCAUGUCUACUAUCCAAUGUUAUUCUCUUAGUUAUAUGAUUACCUUGAAUGUGAUUUGGAACGAUUUCCUAAAUCUCAUUCAUACUCUGGCCAAAGAUUCUUAAUCAUAACAUAGAGUAUUCUCCCUCAAACGGUUUAAAGGUUAGAGAUCCCUUGUUGCGCAUUCACUUGCCUCCAUGGCUAAGUGGCUUAACCCCAACUAUGCCGUGGACACCCUUUGAUGGAGUGACUUUGACAUAGUCAAAGAUCAAGGACCUAACCACAAGACAACUAUGAUGCCUCAGGUCAAAAGACUACUUUGCAUUAUCCUAACCAUGAGUUCUCAUGUGACAUGAGUAUGAGAACUCCUUGUUGAUCGUGUUCAGUGGACUCAUUCUCUAUUGAGCACCUACAUGCUUGUCUUGGUGUCAGUCACACCAAUGACUCGAGACCAGUCACUCUCCCUAAAAGAAGACAUAGCACGUACUGAUCUUAAUGGACUGUCAAUGCCCAAUUGGCAAUCCUAUGAUCAGGAACGUUUAGGAUAUGUAUACGAAAGAGAAUGGUCUCAUGAAUCUAACUUCUUUAGAUCGCAUUCUCCCAAUUACAUAUUCAUUGGACUUAUCGUUUAAGCGUAUAACAUUUAUAUGAGACGGCUUCAAACAAUAAUCUUUGCCCUUUAUAUUAAACUAUAUUAGUUUAACAUGUGAAAUGUCCGUAAAGUAUCAUCGUAUGAUUGGUUUUAAGGCACAUUUCCAACACCGUGAACCCACACACACGCGCGCGCGCGCGCGUAUGCAUACCUUUCUCCUUCUCCCCUCUUCUCAAUUUUUCCUUGCCAUCCGUACACCUGAGAACCCCACACCCACACGACUUUAUCAAACUUCCACAGAUUGAGUCUAGAAACUCUGCUAUUGCGUUCUCCUUGGCUCCACGAGCCUAACUAGACCUUUAGGACGAAGAACGAAUCACGGGAACUCGAGAAACCAUAACCUCCGACGAGGUGAAGUCUGCUCCGUCACGAUCCUGACGUGAUUUCGAGGUUUUAAGGCUUAAUAAGGUACCCACACGACUUCCCUAGCAUUUUAGAUUAGUUUUAGAGAAGUUUGGGCGUUGGAAUAAGCAAGAUGGUGGGAUUGCAGAGUUGGCCAGUUUUUCCAAGAAUUAUUCAAAUCGUUUUCCAUUGGUUUUUGGACUUCUAAUAGGUAUGGUUGUGUUCUACUCUUCAAGACCUUGAAAUCCAUUUAAAAUUCAUGAAUUUUGGUUGAGAAAUGAAGUAGUUAUAAGCUUUAGAAAUUUUCCAGAAAACCGGCGAGUACAGAUGGCGGCCGGCGGCGGAUUCCAGCGAGUCACCGGAGAAGAAGAGGAUUAUUCCGUCAACUUUGAAGGAAUAUACUGAAGGCGUCAAGUAGCUCCGUUAGAAUUUAACGGAAUAUUCUACUAUUUUAACUGAAUAUUCCCUAACGCCAUUAUGGAUUCUGUUAGUGUGCCAGGCACAUUCUGGCGCGUGAGGGCACGUGUGACGUCCAAAAAAUUAUUCUAAAAAUAUGGGGGUGUUCGUGUGGUUGAGUAGAUCAUUUUGGUAUAUUCAAACACCCCAUUUGAGCAAUGUAUGAGAAGUUAUUCCUCGGGUUUAUGUAUGUGCUUUAAAAUUAACGUAAAAUUAGUUAUUUCACAUAUAGGUGAAACGUACCCUGAGGACGAGCGUGGACAAGCGAGUUUGGGGGGCUACAAUCCUGCUACUUGUCAGUGAGUGGGCAUUUGCUUUAUAUAUAUAUAUAUAUAUAUCAUGGUUUCCAAAAAUUUUUUAAAAAAUGAUUUAUGCUUUAAAUGCCAUGUCGGAAAUGAGUUACAUUUUAAAUAUUUCAUUAUUAUAAAUCGUGAAUUAUAUUGUUUGAUGUUGUGGAGGCUCAGGUAAGCUUCAGGUGAGUAUAUUGUGAUGGUAUUGGUUGCAUUGCACAUUGUUAUGCAUAGAUGCAUUUACAGUUCAUCAUUGCUGCACCUUUGUGUUAGUGGUCCCGCCCAAGGUUAGGGCACAGUCUUUCACGUGAUGUUAACCUCCCGCACCACACGCUCACCUUGGAUCAAAGUUUGGUGCCAGCCUUGUCGUAUAGACCACAAUAGGGUGGUUUCGACUCGUAGGUGACCCACGAUUAUUCGCACUGCCUUCACGUGAUCGUAGCACUCGAGAGUACAUAUUUACACCCAACCCUAUCGUAAAUACCACAAUAGGUGGUUCUGACUCGUGUGCUAGCAUAUAUUGUUGAGUAAUGGGUCCAGUCAUACAUGUCACAUUAGGUGACUCCGACUGGCAUAUUACUUUAUAUUGAUGUCACCUGGCUUACAUCUUUUAGUGCUAAAGCGUUAUGACAUGGCAAAUUUCAGUUUUUACUGGCCUUGUGCAUUGGUAUUCGUAUGUGUAUAUGUAGUAUUAUUUUUUUAAAACUAUACGGGUUUUACAGUAAGGGGUUACUAUGUUCAGAAAAGAUAAAUGGGUUUUCAAACGUUUUGUUUUUGCCCACUCACCCUUCUGUUUUAUGCCCCUCUAGGCCCUAGGUAGCUGUACAUCUUGGUGGCUCACGAGAACUUUUGGCGGUUCUGAUGAUCUACUAAAUAAGUGUAGGGAUCUUCCCCCUGUUUUGUAGAAUUAACACAUAGUUGGUUUGACUGCAUUGUUGGAUUGCCUAUGCUCUGAAUACUUGUAUUUGGUACUUGAUCACUUUCACGCACUUAUUUAUUAUCACUAGUUAAAUUAGCUUAGGUUAGUUUUUAUUUAUUCGCAUUUACCUAUUACUAUCAUCACUUCUGUUGUGCACUUGGCUACGUCACCCUCACGUGAUGACCAACACGUCUCGACUUCGGUUGGGGUGUGUCAAAAAAGCCUAUGAUUUUCUUAAUUGGGAUUUUAUUAGAUUUGUUCUUUUGAAAUUUGGCUUUGCAGAGAAAUGGGUUAACUUGAUUAUGGAAUGUAUAACCUCUACGUCCUUUUCAAUUCUAAAAAAUGGUAAUACGCAUGCGUAUGUUUAUCCAAAAUGUGGAAUUAGACAAGAUGAUCCUCUAUCCCUUACAUUUUCAUCCUUGCAUGGAACCUUUAAUUAGACACUAUAAUGAUUUGACUUUAAUCCCUAAGUCGCACAUUGGUGUUCUCUCUUCUCCUAAGGUUUUUUGUGUGGCUGGCCUGGUUUUUGCAAAUGAUUGUCUUCUGUUUGCUAGGGCUACUACUAGGGGCACCCGUAAGGUCCUUGAUUUGUUAACGUUGUUUGCAUCGGCUUUGGGACAACAAGUAAAUUUUCAAAAAUCUUCUAUCUACUUUUCAAGUAACAUAAGUAAUCAGACUAUAAAUGAUAUUGUUAGCAUUCUAAAUAUACAACACAAAACAACCAUUGGUAAAUACCUAGGCAUUAAUAAUAUAGUGUUUUGGAAGGACCCUAUAAAUGAAAUGAAAUUAAUUAAAAGAGUAAAACAGAAACUAGCAGGCUGGAAAGCAAAUACUUUGUCAAAAGCGGGUAGGCUAACCGUAAUCAAAUCCAACCACUCUAGUAUGCCUAAUCAUGUAAUAUACUUCUUCAAUUGCCUUGUAGACUAACGAAAAAACAAAUACGGAAUGAAAAAUUUCUUUUGGGGUGGUGGGAAAGUUAUAAAAGAGGGGGACAAUAUGCGUAAAAAUUGUUAAAAAUAAGUAUCUUAGAAAUGAAGGCUUCUGAAUUGCAAGAUUAAGCAAAACCGUUCUCUUGCCUAGAAAGGUAUUAGAUGGAUUGUGGGUAAUGGUGAGGAUAUCCUCUUUUGGACCCAUCACUAGGUUUUCCUUAUCAUAUUUUUCAGCUCAUCCCGAAAACCAAUCAAUAAAGUUGAAUUGAAAUUUAAAAGUGAGUGAGUUUAUUGAGAUUAAUUGCUGGAACAGAGUCUGUCUUCAACGAGUGGUAGACAAUGACAUCAUUAGAAAUAUGAUGAGUAGAUUUUAUAUUAUAUAUUUUACCCUAAUCUUAGUAUAUUUUGGUUAAUAUAUUGGAAGAAUUUUGAUACUUUGAAUUGUAUUUUCAAUAUAGGACUUUUGACUUCAUCUGGAGCAAAACAAGACCAAAUGGACGAAUUUUGGAGUAAUUCUAGUUGGAGGACGUUCGUGAGUCACUUAGCUUGAUCCUAUCAAAUUUGGGAUUUUUUCACCAAGCGGUUAUUUUCUGGCGAUGGAAUAAAGAAGCAGUAUCCAGUGCUGGAAAAUGACUUCUUUGGGCUUAAAUUGCGUUUUUGGAGCCCAAGAUGACCUCGGAUGGGUUCGUGGCCUUCCGGAGAAGUGUUCAGAAUAUUCCAAACAUGAAAUCGAGCUAUAUUGGGCCAGUUUUGGAGUAGCUUAUGGGUCCAAAACGCGGCUGUUCAGAUUUUAGGCGAAUUUUACCAUUUAAUUUAGGGUUAUGUUUCCUAUUUUAUUGUUUUGUUUUAUUAAUUUUAGUUUUCCUAGGGUUUGUGUGGGGGGCUUAGCAGAUAUAUUGCUUGGCCAUCUACAGUUUUUCGCAACGCUUUCUUUUAUGCAAUUUUGGAGACAGAGAGAAUUGUUAGGGUUUUGGAGACUUUUUACUUGAAGGUGCUUUCAAUCCUUUUCUUAAAUAUAUUUUCUAUGAUUUCAAUUAUGAAUAUGCGGAACUAAUUUCUUUUGCUAGGGUGAAGCCUUGAGCCUUAGCAUGAAUAUGUGAUUUUUAUUUAAUUGCUUAUGAUUGAGUGCAUGCAUACUUUGAAUUGUUAAUCACCAGGAUAAAAAUUAUCUAAUUGUCUUAAUGCUUGAUCACCAUUAGGAUCUUUAGAAAAGUAAUUUGAUGCAAUUUUGGUCGGAAGGUUCCCUGAAAUUGACGCUGGCUUCUUGUGAUUAAUAAUUGUAAUUUCACUUAGGAUGAAUAUCACGUCUUAAGGAUUGCAUGGUUUUUCAAACGAUUUUCAUAAAGCAUAAUGAGUCUUUCAUGUUCAGAUUUGAUCCGAACAUCCGGACGGGUUGCAUGUUAGAUAUACGUUCUAUGUUGGAGGUUCCAAGUAGAAUAUGAAUUAGGAAAAUCUAACCUUCAAAGUGCCAUGUGUAGAUUAUAAGUAAUUGGUAAAAAUUCAUAGGAUUGCUAGGUGAUGGUGGAACCCUAGUGCUUUCUUAAUUUUAUUCUCCCAAAACUGUUUUCUUUUCUCACUGGCUCUAAUACUGCCGAUUGUUUAUUAUAAUUCAUUAAUUUUGUUUUUAUUUUAAUUAGGUUAUAAAAUCAAUCACCUAAACUUUUACUUUACAAUAAUUAAAUGGAAUCCGAUUAGUUUCGAAUUAUUUAAUAGUCCCUGUGGAGACGACCUUGCGAGAUCCGUUUACACUAUAAUAACCUUGUUAUUCUUGCAAGUAAAAUAGGAGAUUUAAACCCGUUCACAUGAGUAGUAAAAUCCUAUCAAGAAAAUGGCGCCGUUGCCGGGGGUUAUUUAAAAUAAUCCCUACUAAUCAGAUUUUCAAUUAGUUAUUACUGUUCAUACAUAAAAAAAAUAAAAAAUUUAAUUUUCGUUUUUAUUUUAUUUUUACAGAUUACAACAGUACAAUAGUGCAGAUUUCAGAAAUCUGUGCAUGGUCAGCACCCGUUCAACAGUACAGAAAUUGAUUCCAUUUGAUCCAGAACUUGAGCAGAAUUUAAGGAGGAAACGCAAGGAGCAAACUUUGCAGAGGGUUCCUCCUCUGCAAGUAACUUUUCUACAGUCUUUAAAUUCUGAAGACCUGCACAACAAAGAAAAAAUGGCAUUUGUAAUUCCAGAAGCUGGUCUGCCCUUGGGUGAUUCACUGACAGCCCAUACCACAAAUAUACCAAGUUGCAUUACUUAUCCAGCAGUGGAGGAAGGGUCUACAUUUGAAAUAAAGCAGCACAUGUUGAAUAUUCUACCUACAUUUCAUAGGUUAUCAUCUGACGAUCCAAACAUGCAUAUUGCAGAAUUUUUAAUGGGUUGCAAAAAUAUUUUGGUGAGAGGAUUUUCAGCCGAAUCUAUUAAGCUCCGUUUAUUUCCAUACACUCUAAAAGAUCAGGCCAGGAGUGAAGGAAAAAUUUUGUCCUAGCUAAGAACAAGUAUGAACAUUUGAAUACACAUGCAAGCUAUUAACACUUUAAAGUAGGCAUGCAUCCAAAAACAAUUCAUAAAACCCAUGACUUUCAAAGCCUAGUAUAUGGUGAACCAAAAUAAACUCUUUAACAACAUUAAAGAGAAGUAAAGAUUUAGUGAUUCUUUACCCUUGAAGCUCAUCCUUGAUUACACAAGGGAUUCACCCAAGUGGAGGGCCUUCAAGUCACCUCCAAGCUCCUUGAAUCCUCCUUGUGUUUUCUUCCCUUUAGUACUCCUUUGAUGAUUUGAGGAAAAAGGAUUUGUUCUCCAAAACACCAAAAGCUUGAUGUCUCUAAGUCUCUUCACCAAGGAUGUAUCUUGUGAAGAUGAUAUGGAUGACUAAGGAAAGAAGAGAUUGCUAGAUGUCCCUCCCCUUAGUGGCCGGCCUCCUUAGAAGAAAAUGGAGAAAAUGUCUCACCCAAUUUCAACAAGAAGAACCCUAAUUAGAAAAUAGCUAUAAAGUUGUAUUUAUAACCUUUUCUUUGGUGAGUGGCAAACUUGUAAUUAAGCAAACUUUGCCCAUCCACCCUAAUGGCCGGCCAUCCUUUGUUAUUGGGCUAAUUUGCCCAUUUUGUUUUAGUUGUCAUACAACUUAAACAUAAUGGGCCUUGUGGACCAAAACGCUUUUGGGCCCCGAAACCCAAAACCAACAUAUAAGCCCAAUACGAACCUUUCGUAUAAUUAAUUAACUAAUUAAUUAAUCUUGACCAUUCUUCAAUUAAACCAUUUAAUUGCUUAUCCAUCUCAUUUAAUUUCUUCACAUACAUCCUUACUCGGUGUACGAUCCAUUAGGUUUCUAUUUAGCGAGGCAGUGGGCGAUGUUACUCUUAACGAUCGAUUGUGAAUUGAAACCACAUUUCAAUUCUCCCUUUUUGUUGAUUAGUGUUUGCUAACCAUUAGGGCUUCCACAAACCAUGAGUGACGCCUAGCAGCAUAUCAUGGAUUACCCAAGCUAAGUAGAAUUGGUUGGAGAACCUAUCCAGUUACAACUACAAUGCAAUACGGAUCCUUCUCUAAUACAAUACUCUUAAUCACAUUGUUUAAGUGAUAGUUUGUUUCAUGUCUACUAUCCAAUGUGAUACUUUCCUAUAUGUUCCCUUGAAUAUGAUUUGGAACAAACUUCCUAAGUCAUAUUCAUUUGCUUUGGCCAAAGACUUUAGAAUCAUAUCUUAGAGUAUUCUCCCUCCACCAUGGAAGGUUAAAGAUCCCUUGUUGUGCAUUCAUAUGCCUACAUGACUAGAUAGCUUGACCCCAACAAUGCCGUGGACACUCCAAAGGAAUGCCGUUGACAGGAUCAAAGAUCAAGGACCUAAUCAUUAGACAUCGAUGAUGCCUCAGGUCAAAGGACUACUUUGCAUAUUGCAACCUUAGAGUUCAUACAUGACAUGUAUGUUCGAACUCUCUUUUGAUUGUCGUUCAGUGAACUCGAGUACUCUUUCGAGCACCUAUGUGUUUGUCUUAGUGUCCAACACCAAAUGACUUGAGACUAGUUAUACUCACGAUUGAGUCAACAUAACACAUACUAGCCUUAGCGGAUUGUCAAUGCCCAAUUAGCAAUCCUAUGGCUAGGAACGUUUUAGGAAUGAACAUAAGAGAAAGGUCUCGAUAAUCUAACUCAUUAGAUCACUUAUCUCUUAGAACAAAUACAUUCCUUGGAUUCCCUUAUUGCUUAAACACAUGAUACAAUAAAUAGUGAUUAACAAUAAGAUUUGCCCUUCAUUAAACAUAUAAAAGUUUAAUACAAUAAGUAUUCCAAAAAGCUAUUACAUCAAAUGAGUGGCUUUGUGGGCAUACUUCCAACAAGGAGAUGGCUCCUUACACUCCCAUCAGAAAGCAUUAGUACUUGGGCCCAACUUAGUGAAAAAUUUUUAAACAAGUUUUAUCCAGCUUCGAAAACCCUUGACAUGAGAACUCAGAUUUUAUCUUUUGCCCAAAAACCAAAUGAAGAGUUUCAUGAGGCAUGGGAAAGGUUCAAAGAGUUGAUUAGAAAAUGUCCACGUUCGGGUAUUAACACUACUGAUCAAAUGCACAUAUUUUUCAGAGGGUUGAAUAUGACUUCAAAAACUCUUGUCAACGCUUCAUGCGGAGGUUCGUACAAAGAUAAAAAUGCACAAGAGGCUUGUUUGUUAUUUGAAAAAAUGGCAGCAGAUACUCAGCAGUGGGCAGUUGAGCAGCCACAAUCUAGGUUUGUUUUUAAGAUGUCUAACGGCUCUCCGUAUGUUACAGCAUAAAUUGAAAAAAUGGAGAAAAGGCUUGAUGCAAAAUUUGACAUGUUAUUACAGAGAAUACCAGGUUCACAAGUUGCUGUACAGCAGCCUUUACAAGCUGCCUGCAGCAUUUGCAACAUGAUAACACACGAUUUAUGAGCUGCCCACAUAAAGACGUUUGCCCAGACUUUACAGCAGAGCAGGUUAAUGCAUUUAACAAUUUCUAGCGUCCCAGAUAUGACCCGUAUUCGAAUUUCUACAACCCAGGUUGGAGAGAUCAUCCUAAUCUAAAGUGCGACAAAGAUCAGCACUCUAGGCCUCAAUUUCAACAGCAGGUACAACAACCUGCUGCACCUAAGGCUGCUUGGGAGGUUGCAAUUGAAAAAUUGGCAAAUACUACCACUCAAGAAAUUCAAAAUCUACAGGUAGCAGUGAAAAACAUGGAAAAAAAAAAUGGGGCAGAUUGCUUUGCAGGUUUCAGAAAAGGCACCGGGUACAUUUCUCAGCCAAACCGAACCAAAUCCUAGGGGAGCUGUAGAUUACAAGGCAGUUAGAGUUUUAUGUUCUGGCAAAAGUUUUGAUAAUAGAGUUGAAAAUUGUGUUCAAAAUUCGCAGGUGGUUUCAUAGCCAAAAAGAGAUUCGAGAAAUGUUGAAAAUUCAGCCAAUUUGAAAGAUUCUGAACAGCAUUUGAACAGUUCUGAAAAUGGUGCAGAUACUGUUAUGGAUUGUGUAUAUGAGCCACCUAUGCCUUAUCCCGAACGGUUGAAGCCUAAAGUCAAAGAUCAACAAUUGACAUAUUUUAUGAAGACUUUGUCUAAGGUUCAGAUUAAUCUACCGUUAAUUGAUGCCAUCAAGAACAUUUUGUCUUAUGCCAAGUUUUUGAAGGAUGUUUGCACAAAGAAAAAGAAGCUCGUUGAUUUUGAGAAAGUGAUUCUUACAGAACAAUGCAGCGUUGUUCUAUUACACAAGUUGCCCCCAAAGAAACAAGAUCCAGGGAGUUUUACAAUUUCAUGCACAAUUGGAAAUGCUCAUUUUAAACGUGCUUUAAUUGAUAUAGGUGCUAGUAUUAAUUUAAUGCCUUUUUCUGUUUUUCAGAGACUAGGACAAGGAGAAAUCAAGCCUACAUCAGUUAUUCUACAACUAGCGGACCGUUUAGUAGCUUAUCCUAGGGGAAAUAUUGAAGACCUAAUUAUUAAAGUGGAUAAUCUCUAUCUUCCUGCAGAUUUUAUGAUUUUGGAUAUGGAUGAAGAUAUACAAACACCGAUUAUUUUGGGACGCCCUUUCAUGGCAACUGCUCGAACGUUAAUUGAUGUAGAGGCUGGAACACUUACACUUAGAGUGCAAGAUCAAUCUGUUGUGUUCAGUUUGUUUGAAGCUACUAAAAGGCCAAGUGAUGUGCAAGAUUGUAUGCAUGUUGAUGUGCUUGACAGCGUAUUGCAUGCUGAAAUUAUUCCACGUUUGACAUCUGAUCCAUUGUUAAAUGUGUUGCAUGGGUUUGAGAAUAAAAAUACAGAAGAUGAAGAGGUUUUUGAGUAUGUUUCAGCAUUGGAAAGUGUUCCUUUUCAACCCCCACAUUGGAGGCACGUUUUUGAGAGUUUGGGGGAACCCAAAAAGCUGUUGCAGCCUUCUAGGGUACAGUCACCUAAACUGGAGUUAAAAGUGCUUCCAGAACACUUGAAAUAUGCUUAUUUGGGUGCAGAUUCUUCGCUGCCAGUUAUUAUAGCUGCUGAUUUAUCAUCAACAGAGGAAGAUAAAUUGUUGCGCAUUUUAAAGAGUUAUCAAGAUGCAAUUAGUUGGACUAUAGCUGACAUUAAAGGGAUCAGCUCUACAAUUUGUAUGCACAAACUUUUGAUGGAAGAUGGAGUAAAACCUGCCAUUGACGCUUAACGUCGUUUGAAUCCAAUUAUGAAAGAAGUUGUUCGUAAUGAAGUUAUGAAGCUUUUAGAUGCUGGGAUGAUCUAUCCCAUUUCAGAUAGUAAGUGGAUUAGUCCAACUCAAGUGGUGCCAAAGUGUUCUGGUAUUCCAGUUGUGAAGAAUGAUAAUAAUGAACUUGUGCCUACUCGUUUGACUACUGGGUGGCGUAUGUGUGUUGAUUAUGGAAAGAUCAAUGCAGGUACUAGAAAAGAUCAUUUUCCAUUGCCAUUGAUUGAUCAAAUGUUGGAAAGGUUGGCUGGUCGUGCUUUCUAUUGUUUCUUGGAUGGUUAUUCAGGGUAUAACCAGAUUCCAGUUGCCCCUGAGGAUCAAGAAAAUACAACCUUUACUUGUCCUUUUGGGACUUUCGCAUAUAAAAGAAUGCCUUUUGGUUUGUGCAAUGGUCCUGCCACGUUUCAGCGUUGCUUGAUGAGCAUAUUUACUGGGUUAGUUGAACAUGUAGUUAAGGUAUUUAUGGAUGACUUUUCUGUUUUUGGGGAUUCUUUUGACCAAUGUUUGUAGAAUUUAUCUCUAGUUCUUGAAAGGUGCAUUAAGACCAACCUUGUUUUAAAUUGGGAAAAGUGUCAUUUCAUGGUUAAGCAGGGAAUUGUCCUAGGCUACUUGAUUUCUAACAGGGGUAUUGAAGUUGAUCAGGCUAAAAUUGAUGCAAUUGAAAAGUUGCCACCCUCAACAACUGUUAAGAGUGUUCGAUCUUUUCUUGGCCAUGCCAGGUUUUAUAGACGGUUCAUCAAAGAUUUCUCCAAGAUUAGCCGACCAUUGUGUAAAUUAUUGGCUAAGGAUGCGCCUUUCAUUCUUGAUGAGGCUUGUUUGGAGGCCUUCAAGAAGUUAAAGACACUCCUUACUACAACACCCAUUAUUGCAGCACCUAAUUGGAGCUUACCUUUUGAAUUGAUGUGUGACGCAUCAAAUUAUGCGGUGGGAGCAGUUCUUGGACACCGGAAAGAUAAGCUUCCCCAAGUUAUUUAUUAUGCUAGUCGAACCCUAAAUGAUGCACAACUAAACUAUGCUACCACAGAGAAAGAAUUGUUGGCAGUUGUUUUUGCAUUGGAAAAAUUUCGUUCGUAUUUGGUUGGGGCUAAAGUGAUUGUUUAUACAGAUCAUGCAGCUUUGAAAUAUUUGUUGUCUAAAAAAGAUGCUAAGCCUCGAUUGAUUCGUUGGAUUCUUUUAUUGCAAGAGUUUAACUUAGAAAUCAGAGAUAAAAAGGGUAGUGAAAAUGUGGUGGCUGACCAUUUGUCUAGAUUAAUUAUUCCGAUAGCUUCAGAAGAGGAUUCCCUACCAUUAAGGGAGAGUUUUCCAGAUGAACAGCUAUUUGCAGUCCAAUUCUGUACACCGUGGUUUGCUGAUAUUGUUAAUUAUUUGGUUAAAGGUGUAGUGCAUCCAGAUUUAACGUUUUAGCAGAAAAAGAAGUUUUUAUCUGAUGUCAAGCAUUAUUUCUGGGAUGAGCCAUACCUAUUUACGUAUUGCCCCGACUAGAUUAUUCGCAGGUGUAUUCUUGAAGCCGAACAGGAAAGUGUUUUAAAGUUUGCUCAUCAUUUUGCUUGUGGGGGACAUUUUGGGCAGAAAAAAAUUGCAGAGAAAAUUUUGCAGAGUGGGUUAUUUUGGCCUACACUUUUUAAAGAUGCACAUAAUUAGUGCAAGGCUUGUGAUAGAUGUCAAAGAGUCAGCAACCAGUCCAAAAGGAAUGAGAUGUCCUAGCAAAGUAUUUUAAUUGUUGAAUUAUUUGAUGUUUGGGGUAUUGAUUUCAUGGGACUAUUUCCAUCUUCCCAUGGGAACCACUAUAUUUUAGUUGCGGUGGAAUAUGUUUCUAAGUGGGUUAAGGCCAUUGCAGCACCAACUAAUCAGGGAUCAGUGGUCUUGAAGUUCCUCCAAGGGGUUAUAUUUCCACAUUUUGGAAUUCCACGUGUUAUUCUUAGUGAUGGGGGGAAGCAUUUUAUUAAUAAACCAUUUGCUAAUUUGUUGGCAAAAUAUGGGAUUAAUCAUCGUGUGGCUACACCUUAUCAUCCACAGACAUCUGGUCAAGUGGAAGUUUCAAACAGAGAAUUAAAAUGCAUUUUGGAGAAAACAGUUGGUUCAACACAUAAAGAUUGGAGUUUAAAAUUAAAUGAUGCAUUGUGGGCCUACAGGACAGCUUAUAAGACUCCUAUUGGGAUGUCACCAUUUCGACUCAUUUAUGGGAAAGCAUGUCAUCUACCUAUGGAGCUUGAGCAUAAGGCUUACUGGGCAAUUAAAGAGUUAAAUUUUUCGUAUGACUCAGCUGGAGAACAACGUAAAUUGCAGCUCAAUGAGCUGGAGGAAAUUCGUCAGGGUGCUUAUGAAAGUUCUCGCAUCUACAAGGAAAGAACUAAGGCGUUUCAUGAUAGUCAAAUUUUACGGAAAGAAUUUUAGCCAGGGCAAAAUGUGUUGCUAUUCAGUUCAAGGUUAAAGUUGUUUCCAGGGAAAUUGAAAUCUCGCUGGACUGGGCCAUGUUUGGUUACUAAAAUCUUUUCUCAUGGGGCAGUUGAAAUAUCUAAUCAGGCUCAAGGCAACGCAUUCAAGGUGAAUGGUCACAGGCUGAAACCAUAUGUGGAGUCACCGUUCGAUACUGCAUACGAGUCUUUGACUCUGAAGGAACCAGUGAUCUAGCCACCGGACUUCCACAACGUCUAGCUACAGACUUAAAAUAAAGCGCUAAUUGGGAGGCAACCCAAUUUUUCUAAACUUUUUCCUAAUUGUAAUUUUCGUUUGAUUUUCUCUUUAAUAUAAAAAAAAACGAAAAAUUCAAAAAUGGAAAAUUGCAGGUUGAUUUUAUUUACCCAGUUUAUUUGAUUUUAUUUUAAUUUCUUUUUAACACAUAUGGGUUAAUUGCAAGUUACGAACGUGGAAAAUAAAGUGCGUCCUUAACUAGAAUCCUGCAGCCAGCAGCAAGUCUACCGUUACAUCAACCACAUCUACACUAUGCUGGAAAUUUAAAGCAGUCAACAUAAACAGUCAUUCACAGAUGCAAGUUUGGGGGAGAUUGUUGCAGAUCCAGCACAGAGACAUAAUUUUGAGCAGUUAAUUUUCUACAGCUCAGUUUUGCGAUGCAUGGAGGAGAAGCAUAAUUAAAUGACAAAUCCAUACACCACAGAACUGAGUACAGCUAUUAUUACAAGAUCUACAACAAUUCAACUUGCAAGGAUAUGAAAUUUUACCUCCCAGAUUCACCGAUCUGGGCUCUUGGAAGCUUGUGCCGUUUUUGUCUAUUGAAGCUGAUGUUUGUCCAUCCACUUUACUUCCCACGGAUCUAUCAGUGAUCCACCUUUACUACACAGAGCAACACAAUGAAACCAUGCUGGGACCAAAUUGUCGUCCUGCACAGUUCACAAUAGAAAGAGUGAUGACCCUUUCAUUUUCAUGAUCAGGUUAUGUAUUACUUAAAACACACAAGCUUGUGAAAGUCGAUUUUCUGAAGGUCUUAUUCAUUUUGUUAUUUGUUCAUCAGAUCUGGAGUCCUUUACGUUUUAGGGUUCAUAUUUUUCGUGGUCAUUUAGUCUUCGUUAAGUCUCACGCAUUUCAAGUUCACUUUCAUCAUAUUGUUGGAAAUAUGCCCUGAAAGUCAAUCUUUGGAAGAAACCUUUCAGGACAAAUGAAUCGAUGUAUAGAUGACUCUUAUACAUCGAAUGGCAAAGAUACUAAUUAGGACUAUCUCAAUAAACGAUAUAUGUCCUAAAUAGUGAAUCCAUGGACAAUGGAUCGAUUGAAGUAGUAAUCUAAUGAUGUUAGACUACAGAGACCUUCUUCACAUAACCAUUAUGUCCAAAAGGUUCCUGGUCAUUGGAUUGUCGGGGGGAUACGACAAUGCUUAGACCGGUACAUACUGUGUCUGCUUCAAUUGGAAGGAUGGAAAGUCUCAUCCCAUUCGUGUGGUGACACUAAGACAAGUAUGUAGGUGCUCAUUAAGGGAAUGAGUUCACUGAACACAAUCGAACGAGAGUACUUGCAUGGAGGUCUACUCACAUGUCAAGCAAGUAACUCUAAUGGUUGGAAUAAUGUAAGUAGUCCUUUGACCUGAGGCAUCGUCGUUGUCUUGUGGUUAAGUACUUGAUCUUUGAUUAUGUCAAAAGUCACUCUAUCAGAAUGUCAACGGCAUAGUUGGGGUUAAGCCACUUAGUCAUGAAGGCAAGUGUAUGCGCAACAAGGAAUCUCUAAUCCUCGAUAAGAGAGGAAGAAUACUCUAAGAUAUGAUUCGGGAAUCUUCGGCCGAAGUAUCGAGCGUAAUAAAGGAAAGCGUUCCUAUACGACUCAAUUGAAUCAUAUAAGAAGGAAUAAUCACAUUAGGGGUUUGACAUAAUAUAUCCAUACCCUAAUGAUGUGAUUGAGAGUAUUGUUUUAGAGAAGGAUCGAAUUACAUUGUAAUUCCAACUGAGUAGGUUCUCCGAAUAAACUUCUACAUUAGCUUGGGUAGCUAUGACAUAUGGUUAGACGUCACUCAUAGCUUGUGAGUUCUUCUAGAUGAUUAAAUAUAGUCGUCAAAGAAGAAAGGUGAAUUAAAAUGAAGUUUUAAUUCACUAAGUGAUUGAAUUAAAUAUAAUCAAUUGGAUUGAUGCCAAUCACCUCACUGCCUUGCUAAUUAGAACCUAAAAGAUUGUUCACCAAUACACUAUUGUAGUGAGUAACUAAUGGAUGAUGGAAAUAAUUAAUUGGAUUAAUUAAGUGUUGUGAUUAAUUUAGAAAGUCUAAAGAAAUCAUAAAAGCGAUAAAGAUCGUUUUGGGCUUAAAGAAACGUUCGGGUUUAAUUGGGCCCAUUGGGCCUAACCCAUUGGGCUUUUAUUCAAGCAUUGGAUGACUUGAAAUAAAUGAAAGCCCAAAGCCCAAACAACACAAAGAGGGCCGGCCACUUUAAGGUGAAGAGGGUGUGAUAUUUAGUCAAGUUGUUGACUAGGUUUUCUUUUGUCUAUAUAAGGAACUUUAUAAGAUAUUGUUCAUUAGGGUUUUUUGUGUGGUUAAAAAAACAACAAAGAGGCAAAAGAAUAUCUCCCUAAAACUUCACAAAGGCCGGCCACCUUGGGGUGAUUUUACUAACAUAUCUUUCACCCUUUGGUUAUUCCUUCAUCCUUCUCACUACACUAGUGGGUGGGGAUCUUUAGAGGUUUCCUACUUUGGAAACUUGAAGAGAACCUAGGAGCACACAUUCUAUCAAAGUGGAGGAGGCAAGGAGGGAAGCUAGGCUCAAGGAGUUCAAGGAACAAAGGGCUUGGAGGUGGUCCAUCCUUGGUCUCAAGUCUAGAUCAAGAGGUAUAAGACUAAACCUUCACUUUGUUCUUUUCUCUAAAUUUUAUUUGAUGCAUUAUAUAUAAACCUAUGAACCUUGAAGGGGAUUUGCAUGACUAUAGCUUUGAUAAUUUGUUAUAAAUGCUUCCGCUGCUUUCGUAUAUUAAAUUUGAUUUGUAUACGCAUGAUAGUCAUUUAGAAAUCCCAUAUGAAAACUCAUAAUUUUCCCUUCACAUAUCAUGUUAGUCCGUAUGUUGUUAGUUCGAUUCAUGUUCAAACCCGCAUAUACAUAUGGUUUUUGUUAACAUUUUUCAAAGAUCCGUGGAUGAAAUUACUCAUGGCAUUUAAACAAGAGCAGGGAUGAGUUUAUACCUUCAUAAUCGAUAGAUCAAGACUUUCAUGAUGUGCCAUGCUUUCUGUCCAGUGGAUUUUCAGUUUGAGAUUUCUCUCUCGGAUUUGUCACGGAUCUGAGUGUUCUGCACAAACACCAUACCAUUAUAAUUACAUGCAGGGGUGAUGAAGCUAUUUUCUUACAACAUGGGGUUCAUUACCCUACGGAGUACAAGAUUUUUACCUUUUGCAGGAACCGGAUAUGCAUUGUAGUUGGUUUUCAUUUUUCUUGUCAUUGUUAAGCUUCCAGAUCGAGGACCUGUGCCCACAAUCGAAAUAAACAUAAGUAUACACAUGCAGUAUGGCGCAUCUGAGACAUAAAACCAACCAUAUGGAGCUGCUCGAGUAACGUUAAAUAGAUGCACAUAUCUUACCUUCACAUGUCCAUGGUAGAAGUUGAAGGGUUUCGAUUUCCGCAGAGACAAGCGCGUGGUGUAGAUCGACUCGGAUUUGAAAUUAUUGGGGGUCCUUAAGCAGAUAACACCACAUGCAUGUUUUUUUUCAGAUUUCCCACCAAGGCUAGGUAUUCACGGAGGUUAGAAAUGUGAGCGAGUUGGGGUCUAAGGGAAACGAGAGGAGCGGCUCGGGUUCUCACAAAUGAGAGAAAACUAAGAAGACAAUGGAGAGCUUAAAAGCCUUUUCAGACUUUCAAGAGAGAGAGAAGGCAAAACUCUUUCCAUUUUGGAGACCUAUUUUUCAUUGUAAAGAGAUGUGGGGGCUGAGAGAAAUGAAAGAUUUCUUUCGGUCUCUAUUGAAAUGCACAAGACUUGCGGUUUACAAAGCCUACAGAAAAGUGAGAGUGAUUUGACCGUUCUUUUGGAAUCCUAAGGAGCUUAAUGCAGUGAUGCGCGCCACGUGUACAUAGCUGGAGUUUUCCUAUGUUUGUUCAAUUGACUCAGUUUGAAUUAAAGGGGGAGAAGAGCCAUUCGGCUCGGUGCUCGAGGAUGCCAGCUGCAUCCCAUUCAUGUCGCAGGGACUCCAAUGUUUAAUUAGCAUUUGCUAAGUGGAUUUACUAGGCCACUUGUGUAGUUUGUCACGGGCCACCGCACACCAUGACCUUCCCCAUCAAAACUCGCAGAGAAUCCAAUGUCCACAUACUGGUGCUCGGUUUUUGGUGCACGCCUGCUGUGCACAUGGACUUGGCUAGGUGUUCUUUUCUCUUUGAUUUUUGUUUUGUUUGUUAUUUUCUGUUAUUUUAUUUUAUUUUUUCAUUAUCUUUAUUUUUUUAUUUUUUAUUUCUUCUUAUAGUGUUGUCCGCUAGAGUUUUUGUGUUUUUUUUUAUUUUAUUGUUCUUUUAGUUUUUUUUUGUUUCCACACCUUGAGGACAAAGUGUGAAAUAAGUUUGGGGGUGGGACAGUAUAUCUUAGUUUUUCAUGGUCUUUAUAUGGCUAAAAAAUAAAAUAAAAAUAAAAAAUAAAAAAAUAAAAAAAAAUAAAAAAACAAAAAAAAAUCCAAAAAGAUUCUUUUUCUUGAAUCGUUUAGUUAGACAUUCCAUAAGUCAAUGAUAAUAAUUCGCUUUCUUCUAGGUCAACAAACUUAUUUGAAUUGAUUCUUCUUUUGUGAAAAUUCAAUUGUUUUAUAUGGUUAAUCCGAUUCUUACAUGAUCAUUCUCAAGUUUAUUUUAUACCAAUAACCAAUGUCAGUAUGAUUAUCUCUUAGAGAAUUAUAUGUGGAUUUAAAGUGAAAACUUAUUGAACCUUUGUGAGAUUUUGAGCGUCUUGCAUAUUCUUUUUUGUGAGUUUCGUGAUAGCAUUAUCAUUCACUAGAACUUGCUUCAAUAUCUCUCGAGGCGAAAUCCUAAGUCAUGCAACAUUAGAGAGAUGAUAAAGGCCAUGUUUGGAUCGUUUGAGCCUUUCUAACCAACCUUUUAUGUUUCAUUUUCCCUAGUUACCCUUUUGAAGCCAAACACUUAGCUUUUUCUUUCAUCACCCACAUUCAUCCCUACACAUUUAACCUAUUUUAGCCAUACCCUAUAACUUAAGGGAUACCAAGUGGACAUCAAGGAAGAUAAAGGUUGGGUUCUACAAUAAGAAGUGGCGUGUACUGAGGUACCAUGUCUAGUAUUAUUUUUUAUUCUUCUAAAAAAAAUAAAUAAAGAAAAAAUAAAUCGGAAAAAAAAAAUAUUAGAAAAGAAGAGUUCGAAAUUGUUCCAUCUUUAUGACAUGAGUCCUGGACGCCAAUAAUAGAAGAUUCAAGUUUCAAAAGAGGGCCGACCGAAUUACAUUAUGAAGAUAUCUUGGUAUUUCUUAAGUUUUAGUUUUUUUUCCUAUCCUUUCUUUGAUAGCCCAUACCCUAGCCUAAUGUUACAACCUUUAUAAAGACCUUUGAUCUUUGGUGUUGCAUUGAUUUACAUUAGUGGAGAGUUGAUAUGAAGAGCAAGCUUAUGGGGUUUUAUAUUGCUUAUAAUGAUUGAGUGAAACACUUUGCUCUUUAAUGUGUGAUUUUUGUGUGUGUGAUAUUCAUGGUAGAGGAUUGAAGUGGAAGCUUUGGUUUGCAUAUACCUAUCCGGGUUGAGUAAGUUGUAUUGAUAUUGGUUAUGCCACUCAUUACGCUUGAGAAUGUUUUUUAAGGUUUGGUUAAUUUUAUUUUGAAAAAUGUUUAAUUCUCUUAAGUUUGGUGACCGUCUCUAGAUUGCUUUGAGGCUAAUUUAUGGAAGGUAUAUUGUUUGAUCGUUGUUUUUUUUUAUUCUGUUUUGCUUGAGGACAAGCAAAAAGCUAAGUUUGGGGGUAUUUUGAUGAGUAGAUUUUAUAUUAUAUAUUUUACCCUAAUCUUAGUAUAUUUUGGUUAAUAUAUUGAAAGAAUUUUGAUACUUUGAAUUGUAUUUUCAAUAUAGGACUUUCGACUUCCUCUGGAGCAAAACAAGAACAAAUGGACGAAUUUUGGAGUAAUUCUAGUUGGACGACGUUCGUGAGUCACUUAGCUUGAUUGUAUCAAAAUAUGGGAUUUUUCACCAAGCGGUUAUUUUCUGGCGAUGGAAUAAAUAAGCAGUGUGCAGUACUGGAAAAUGACGUUUUUGGGCUUGAAUUGCGUUUUUGGAGCCCAAGAUGACCUCGGAUGGGUUUGUGGCCUUCUGGAGAAGUGUUCAGAAUAUUCCAAACAUUAAAUCCAGCUAUAUUAGGCCAGUUUUGGAGCAGCUUAUGGGUCCAAAACGUGGCUGUUCAGAUUUUAGGCGAAUUUUACCAUUUAAUUUAGGGUUAUGUUUCCUAUUUUAUUGUUUUUUUUAUUAAUUUUAAUUUUCCUAUGGUUUGUAUGGGGGGCUUAGCAGAUAUAUUGCUUGGCCGUCUACAGUUUUUCGCUACGCUUUCUUUUAUGCAAUUUUGGAGACAGAGAAUUGUUAGUGUUUUGGAGACUUUUUACUUAAAGGUGCUUUCAAUCCUUUUCUUGAAUAUAUUUUCUACGAUUUCAAUUAUGAAUAUGCGGAGGAACUAAUUUCUUUUGCUAGGGUGAAGCCUUGAGCCUUAGCAUGAAUAUGUGAUUUUUAUUUAAUUGCUUAUGAUUGAGUGCAUGCAUACUUUGAAUUGUUAAUCACCGGGAUAAAAACUAUCUAAUUGUCUUAAUGCCUGAUCACCAUUAGGAUCUUUAGAAAAGUAAUUUGAUGCAAUUUUGGUCAGAAGGUUCCCUGAAAUUGACGCUGGCUUCUUGUGAUUAAUAAUUGUAAUUUCACUUAGGAUGAAUAUCACGUUUUAAGGAUUGCAUGGUUUUUCAAAGGAUUUUCAUAAAGCAUAAUGAGUCUUUCAUGUUCAGAUUUGAUCCGAACAUCCGGACGGGUUGCAUGUUAGAUAUACGUUCUAUGUUGGAGGUUCCAAGUAGAAUAUGAAUUAGGAAAAUCUAACCUUCAAAGUGCCAUGUGUAGAUUAUAAGUAAUUGGUAAAAAUUCAUAGGAUUGCUAGGUGAUGGUGGAACCCUAGUGCUUUCUUAAUUUUAUUCUUCCAAAACUGUUUUCUUUUCUCACUGGCUCUAAUACUGCCGAUUGUUUAUUAUAAUUCAUUAAUUUCGUUUUUAUUUUAAUUAGGUUAUAAAAUCAAUAACCUAAACUUUUACUUUACAAUAAUUAAAUAGAAUCUGAUUAGUUUCGAAUUAUUUAAUAGUCCUUGUGGAGACGACCUUGCGAGAUCCGUUUAUACUAUAAUAACCUUGUUAUUCUUGCAAGUAAAAUAGGAGAUUUAAACCCGUUCACAUGAGUAGUAAAAAUCCUAUCAAAAUACAUGUAUGAUUACUAUUCCAAGGUAAAUAAGGAGGAUUUAUUUAUUUAUUUAUUUUUUGUGUGUGUGGGAGCACACUUCAAAUGGGAGCACAUCUAAAAAGAUGUGGAGGUUAAAAUUCCUCCAAAAGUUAAAAUCUUUGCUUGGCUAUUUAUUUUGGAGAGAUUGCAUACUAGGAUGAGAUUAAGUAGACAUAUUCAAAGCAUUAAUACCAGUUGUCCUAUUUGUAAUGAGGCUGAGGAAAGCCAAAAUCAUCUGUUUCUUAAUUGCCAUAAUGCUUGUCAACCGUGGAAUGUAUCAUAGGUAAGUCCUUGGAAGAAUAACAAUCAUCAUGUUAACAUUGUCAUCGACUGGUUGGAGAACCUAAACUCUAAUGAUGAGAAUGAGUUAAGUGAAUUGAUUAAGGCAAUCUUAAUUUGUUGGCAAUUAUAGCAAGAACGAAAUAACAAGGUUUUUAGUAGUAUCGAUCCAAAUGCUUUUAGAAGUUUUAUUGUGGCAUCAAAACUGGAGAAUGCUUAUUCCCUCGCAAAUUACAUUCCUGUCAAGACGAGGGCUCCAAAUCAGAACCAUAUUAUUGAAGUUCUAAAAGAUGUUAGGCACUAGUCGGGCGGUAUGCUGGGGCCUAGCGCUUAGGCGGACUAGUCGGAUUUAAGUAAAUCUAUUAUAUUUCGUGUAUAUAAGUGUCUGUUUAUACUUACAAUAUAUAUAAUUUCAUCAUAAACUACAAAAUAGAAUGAUGAAGUAUUUGAACAUAAUGAAGACAUGGGGAACAAGCAUAUAAUGUGUGUUCAUUUAAGCAUACAACAAGUCCCUAAUAAUUUAUUGUAAAAAAGAAAAUGCAAAAUGAAAGUUAUCUAUUUUCUGUCUAAGUGAGUUGCAACUUAGGCGUGUCUGAUCGGACUAGGCAGGUGCCUAAGUGGUCUAGGUGGCCGCCUAAGCAAGUCUAGGCGCCCUUUCUUAAUUUUCAAACACCUAUGGAUUAAUUGGGACAGUGGCCAGCUGCCUAACUCCUAGGCGGGAUUUUUAGAACAGUGCAUAUUAUUAAGUCGACCUCUCCUCCUCCGGAUGUAAUUAACUUAAAUUUUGAUGGUCCUGCUUCUGCGGGCAGGGGUGCCACGACUUUUGUUUUGCGAAACCAUGUGGGGCCUCUUAUCGGGGCUAGAGCUUUGACUUGGUAAAGCCACUAUCACUGUGGCUGAAGCUACUGCUUUAAAGGAGGGGUUGUUGCUUACCAAGAGAAAGGGUGUCCAAAGAUUAAUGGUUGAGGGGCUCUUUACUUGUCAUUCAGCUUGCGGGCGGAGAGUGGAUGCCCUCUUGGCAAAUCCAUCAAAUCGUUAGUGAUAUCAAUGGGCUUGCGACAAAAUUUGUUGAGAUUUCUUGGCAUCAUAUUUUCAAAGAGGCAAACUUUGUUGUUGAUGUUCUUGCUCGUGUUGGCCUUUCUCUUGUUAACCCUCACUUCAGAGAUUACUGUUUGCCCCCUAAGGCUUUGACUGCCCUUAGAUUUGACUCUGAGACUAGUGGUUGUACUAGAUGUUUCAGUAUUUAAUAUAUUAUUUGUUUAUCAAAAAAAAAAAUCCAAUAAACCCAAGUGAAAAAAAAACACUUAAUACAAUGUUUAGCUUCGAGGAUUAAGCUUAAGAUUCAAGCUGAAAAUCCUUUUUAAGUAGCAAAAUAUUCAUAAAAUUACAAAAUUAGUAUAUACACGUUAAAGCCUUCAACUGGUAACUAUCUGCUCUCCAUCCAAACUCUCUCUUACACCGUCCGUCGUUAUAGUUUUGCUUAAAUUUGGAAACUUUUCCAACAUUAUACCUAAAAGUAUAUUACUGAAAGAUUGUGUUUUGCUUAAACUUGCUCGAUGAAAUGAGCACUGUGCAUGUAUUGAUGUAUAUAGAUUUACAUCAGUGAAUUUUACAAAUAUUGGACUCUUUACAAAACAUAUAAACAUAUCUGAAAGAUAAGAUUAUCAACAGAAAAACAAUAAUCAAAGAUUAUCCUAAGACGUUGGAGAGGGACUGUACUCCUGAGAAAUAGUUGCUGCUGUUGCAACUGAUAGCGCCAAUCUUUCUUGUUUGAGUAUCGAAAUGGAAUCAGAAGUAGAUGCUUUAUCAUCCCCUCGCAAGCUGACUGCCGGCGGAGGACUAGCAGCUUGGAUACCAGAAGAUUAAACUGAGCUGUAGAUAAUGGGAAAAGAAUUUUUCAUUUCAUUAAAAAAUAAUAAGAUUACUGAAUGUAUAUAUACACAAAGCUUGUUGUACACACUUGUACAAAGUUGUUAACCCUAAAAACUACCAAGCCUACGUGGCGCACAGGCUAAAUAAAUAAUGAGUUAACUACGUCAUUCAGUUGAUGCGGGGCGUGCCAACUCGUCGGCUGGGCUCGGCCGAGGAGUAAAAUGUAUUGAUAAUGCAUUGAGCGUGCGGCUAACUUCUCGAUCUUGCAACUGUGGCCGAGGAAGGAACACGUCUCGGCCUUUAGGUUCUAGAGCCUGAAGACAAGGCUGCUAGUUCUGCGAAGUUCACAAAUCGUCGGCGUCGGAUUCGGUCACGGUAAUUAUAUUUGUAAGAGUAUAAGCACGCCAAAUUGACACCAGACUAUAUGGACACAAGUAUUCAAAGAAAAUGUACAUUUUAAUAGUAAAUGUGAUUCGGCCGUCAGAAUGUCCAACUCAAAAUCCAACUUGUGAGUAUCCAAUCAUAAAACAACUCGGCGUUCAAUGUGCCGAGCCCUAGUAAACUGUAACACCUCACCUUGCCGAAAGGCUAAUGAGAUGACCUCUGCCAAUAAAGACCCGACAGUCUUUCUCAAUUGAGACUUGGAUAGAUAACCAGCUAGCCUUGACGCAGUGCUGUUUAUCCAAACUAAAGAUGUGUCGACGAAAAAGCAAAUAACAAUCUCAAGGUUGUUGAGGUUUCACGUAGAGCGAGAAUUUGCACAGGGUAGUUUUACUGUUGAAUUGGAAGGGGCCUUCUUGUUGUCACUGCCUCUAUAUUUAUAGGUUUCAGUUCUUGCUUGGCAUGGCCUGGUAACUUUGUAGAGUUCAAUCGGGAUUCUGCCACCUUCUCCACAUAAUAUGCGAUAUCCAAAAUCCCAAAUCCCUGAUGUAGACCACGUGCAUUUGUGAUAAUGGCCCCAGGGAACAAUUCUAAUAUUUGAUGGUAUCGUACCCUGCAUAUCCUUCCCUCAAUGCCACGUGCUCCUUCCUUAUCUUUUGCAUGGCACCAAUCUAAACCAAAGAUUGGUUUUGAUGAUGUUUGAAUGCCUCGCAAGAUGUGAAUCUCUGUGGUCCAACUUCCAUGCACCAAUGACAUUCUAAUUUGUAUGACUUCAUCAUUAUCCCAAACCAUGCAUCCUGACUUUUCAAACCCCAUCUACCAUGAUGCUCCACUCUGAUAACAGGAAUUCCAAGUCCACUUGAACUAUAGUUGUUCGAAGAUAUAAUGCUAAAAUGAUUCAAAUUAAAAGAUAUUAUUAUGAUAAAAACCAUAAUAUUAUCCUUUAAUAGUAACAAAAUUAUCUUCAUUUUCAUCCAACGGUUAAGAGUUAUGCUCAUUCAACGGUCUAGAUUACUUGGCGGGCCGAUAGUGUAAAUCGAGUCCAAACAAAAGUAGAUUUUAACAACUAACCAACUAUUGACAGUUGUAACUAAUCUAUCCAAUUACACAGCAAACUAAGAUGUAUCUUUAACGAUUUUAUCCUUAAUAUGCCCCCUCAAACGGAACUGAGGGACCCAAAGAGAAAGUUUGCUUUUGAGAAGAAGAAAUCGAGACUUUGACAAAGAUUUAGUACAGACAUCAGCAAUCUGAUCCUGAGAGCACAUAAAGUGCACAGAAAGAGCUUUGGAACAGACCUGUUCUCGAAUAUAAUGAUAGUCAAUUUCAAAAUGCUUUGUGCAUGCAUGAAACAUUGGAUUUUUAGCUAAUGAAAUUGCAGAGAUGUUGUCACGCCACAGUUGGGGAGGUGCUGGAAGUAUGAGACCAACAUCAACUAACAGCUUACAAAUCUAGGUGAGUUCUGCAGCUGUGUUAGCCAAAGAUCUAUACUCUGCUUUUGUAGAAGAUCUGGCCACUGUUGGUUGCUUUUUAGCACUCCAACUGAUGAGAGAAUCACCCAAAUAUAUACAAAAACCACCAGUACUUCUUCUGUCAAUAGAACACCAUGCCCAAUCAGCAUCAGAAUAAGCAUGAAUAAUGAGAGAUUUAGCACAUUUAGGAAACCAGAGACCUAAAUUAAGAGAACCCUUGAGAUAUCGUAGGAUCCUUUUAACUGCUUAAAGAUGUGAUUGUCUGGGACUAUGCAUAACUUGACACACAAGGUUGACUGCAAUGGAAAGAUCAGGCCUAGUCCAAGUCAAGUAAUGCAAACCACCAACUAAAGCUCGAUACUCAGUAGGAUCAGAGAGUAAAGGAGAUGAGUGAUCCAAUUUGGAAGUACUUAAAGGUGUUGCAGAGGCCUUAGCACCAUCCAUCUUGGCUUUUUGCAACAAAUCAAGAAUAUAUUUUGUUUGAGACAAAAAAAUCCCUUUGGAAGACCUCUUGACUUCAAGUCCAAGUAAAUAAUGCAAGGGACCAAGAUCCUUGAUGGGAAACAAGUAACUGAGAUGAGUAUUAGUAGCUUGACCAGCUUAAGAAGAGGGCCAUGUCACCAAUAUAUCAUCAACAUACACCAACACAAACACCAAUGCAUGAUCUCUUUUAAUAAACAGUGAGUGAUCAUUUUGAGAACCAAUAAAACUCAAAGAAUUUAGAACACUGUGCAACUUGUCAUACCAAGCUCUUGGAGCUUGUUUCAACCCAUAUAAAGACUUUUGUAAGUGACAUACAUGAGUAGGUUUAGUGGGAUCUUCAAAACCUAAGGGUUGCUUCAUGAAAACAUCUUCAAAGAGAGUACCAUGGAGAAAAGUAUUACUAACAUCAAGUUGGUUUAAAAACCAAUCAAACUGAACUGCCAUGGUCAACAAAAGCCUAAUGGUUAUAGGCUUUGCAACUGGACUGAAAGUAUCUGUGUAAUCCAAACCUUCUUGUUGGUGAAACCUCUUGGCCACCAACCGAGCUUUAUAGCGAUCUAUUGAACCAUCAGCCUUCAUUUUUAUUCUAAAUACCCAUUUGUAGCCCACAACAUUUUGAGAUGGAUGAGAAGGAACCAAUUUCCAAGUGCCAGUUUAAAGAAGAGCACUGAAUUCUUCUUGCAUAGCUUGUCUUCACUGUGGGAAUUUGGAAGCUUGCAGAUAGGUCGGAGGCAAGUAAUUUGGAGAUAUAUGUGAAGGUAGAGGAUGUUUAGUGGAAAGAAGGGCUUUGGGUUUAUAAAUCCCUGUUUUGGAUCUAGUUUGCAUAUGAUGAAUGUUUGAUGGAGGGUUGGAGAUAAAAGGUUGAGUAAUUAAGGGAGAGAUAGAAGUAUCUGAUGUGGAAGGAGAAGGACACUGAGAUGGUGAAGGGAUGAGAGACUGAGAAGGAAGGGAAGUGGAAGGUGUAGGAUGAGAUAAAUGGCUGUAGAGAAAGCCUUAACCCAGUAGACAUAUGGAACCAAGGAAGUAGCUAAAAGGGUUAUGGCAGUUUCAACUAAAUGCCUAUGUUUGCGCUCAGCACACCUAUUUUGUUCUGGGGUGUGAGGACAACUCAACUGAUGGUGAAUACCAUUAUCCUUAAGAUAAGAGAUAAAAACAUAACUGAGAUAUUCUCCACCAGAGUCAGAUCUAAGUGUAACAAUUUUAUUUCCCAACAAGUUGAAGGAAUUAUUUUGUAAAACAUGUUCAUUUGAGCAACAUCAUAUAGCAUGCAAUUAACAAUUAAAAGGCGGAAUCAUGCUUGUAUGUACUCAAAAACAAAACAUGACCAUGAAAUUCAAAGCCUAGUAGAUUGGUGAACCAAUAAUCAACUCAAAAACAAAGUGAGUUGAAAUUAAUACCUUUGUAGAUUCCUCUUUGCAUAAGCAAAGGCUAAUCACCCAAAGAGAUAAGGGCCUUCAUUCCUUGCUUCUUAGAUCCAUGGAUUUGGAUGGAAGAAUAGGUUCUCCAAGUUCCCAAAAUUGAGAACCUCUAAUUCUCGACACCAAGAUUCGAUUGUAGAAGAAAUGAGUGACCUUGGAGUAGUAGGAUUGCUAGAUGUACCCUCCAAGGUGUUGGCCUCUUUAGAGAGAAAAUGGAGAGACAAUUCUCACCUAUUUUCCCCAAAAAAUAAACCCAUUUUUCACUUAAUGAAUAUUUGGCUAUAAAAUCAUUUAUAUAGUCACUUCUUUAAGUGACCUAAACAACCAAAACCCUAAUUCAUUUCAUCAUGGCUGGCCAUUUAGGGGAUUUUUGGGCUUUUGGGCUUUAAUGAAUCUUUAUUCAUUAAAUUGUCAUACAACUUAAGUUAAUGGGCUUGACGUUCGAAGCCCAUUGGGCCUUAAGGUCCAAAACUAUCCCGAAGUCUUUAACGAACUUAUUCGUUUGAUUAAUUAACAUAUUAAUUAAUCCUUGCCAUAAUUAAUGAUGAUUAAACCAUUUAAUCAUUCUUACUCAUUUCCGUUUUAAUCUCCAAUCUCCACCUUUCACGGUGUGCGAUCCAUUAGGUUCCUUUUAGCGAGGUAGUGGGCGAUUAAAACCAUUUUACAUCGAUUGUGAAUUGAAACUAUUUUCAAUUCUCCCUUUAGUGAUUAUACACGUCUAGGGCUUCCACAAACCAUGGUUGACGCCUAGCAGCAUGUCAUGGUUACCCAAGCUAAUCAGAAGAGGUUUAGAGAACCUAUUCAGUUCGAGAUUACAAAUGCAAUACGGUCCUUCUCUAAUCUAAUACUCUUGACCACAUUGUUUGGUUUGAUAGUUUAUUUUUUCUCAUGUCUACUAUCCAAUGUGUGUGUCUUGUGCUUAUAUGAUUACCUUGAAUGUGAUUCGGAACGCAUUCCCUAAUCUCAUUCAUACUCUGGCCAGAGAUUCAAAUCAUAUCAGAGAGUAUUCUCCCUCAAACGGUUUGAAGGUUAGAGAUCCCUUGUUGCGCAUUCACUUGUCUCCAUAGCUAAGCGGCUUGACCCCAACGAUGCCGUGGACACCCUCCUGAUGGAGUGACUUUGACAUAAUCAAAGAUCAAGGUCUUAACCACAAGACAACUAUGAUGCCUCAGGUCAAAGGACUAAUUUGCAUUAUCCCAACCAUGAGUUCUCAUGUGACAUGGAAUAUGAGAACUCUUCGUUGAUCGCGUUCAGUGAACUCAUUCUCUAUUGAGCACCUACCGCACUUGUCUUGAUGUCACACACACCAAUGAUUCGAGACUAAUCACUCUCCCUGAGAGAAGACAUAGUACGUACCGAUCUUGACGGACUGUCAAUGCCCAAUUGGCAAUCCUAUGAUCAGGAACGUUUAGGAUGUGUCUUCGAAAGAAUGGUCUCAUGAAUCUAACUUCAUUAGAUUACAUUCUCCCAAUCACAAAUUCCUUGGACUUUAUCGUUUAAGCAUAUAACAUUUAUAUGAGACGGCUCAAACAAUAAUGUAUGCCCUUUAUAUGUAAAACUAGAUUAGUUUAACAUGUGAAAUGUCCAUAAAGUAUCAUCACAUGAUUGGCUUUAGGGCACAUUUCCAACAAUCUCCCACUUGCACUAGAGCCAAUCAGCUUGGUCAUCUUGAUGAUACCUCUUCUGUAGUCAUUUCAUAAAUGACUGAAUAGUAGGCCUAGACAGUGGAUAUCUAUAUGUGUUAUCCAUAGAAGCAACCUUGAGAAUAACGACGUCACCAUUAUACAUGAUUCUCAAUCAUGUGGUUCAGUCUCUCAUUUGUGUUCGGAUCUUGAUGAGACCUUGAUUCCCAGGCUUGAGCUAUCGCCCCAUUAGUGUCAAACACUUUCUGGUUGGAACCGAAUAGAGAGUUCAUAAAUGAACUUUCCCAUCCAAACAACAUUGUUGUAAACUUCUAUAUGGCAAUAUAUCUUGCAUUCAUAAUGGAACACACUAAAGUCAUUACUUUAAUGUUUCCAUCCAAAUAUCUCUUUAGUCAUAAUAAAGAGAUAUUCGUUUAUCUCUUCAUUCAUAAUGAAGAAACAUCCAAUGAUGGAUUAGAUUCAUAAUCUAAUACAUUUACGCUUCCAUUACGUCACUUGAUUCUUCCUCGAUCUUUGAGGAAUCUAUCCUUUAGUAUUUCUUAAAUACUUAAGGACUCACUUGACAGUUGCCAUGGUUCUGAUCCUGGGCUUGCACUGAUAUCGUCUUGUACCGUUCUAGGUACAACUCAUAUCAAUGUUUUUCAUACAAUAUGAAAUACAUAAAUCACCUUUCUGCUAGUGCAUAAAGGAUUCAAUUUACGCAUUAUUUCUUUGGGAGUCAAAGGGUACAUUCCCU